UGGUCACACAGUAGUGACAGGUGGAGCCCGCCCACACCCAGUCUUCUGAUGCCACUCCUUUGCAGAGGCUGUAUGUCCUUCUCUGUCCCCGCCCCUGUGUCCUCCUCCUGCCCACCAGAACCUUCUCUGGGAUCUCCCCCUAGUUUGGUUGCUGCGGGGUCAACGGGCCUGAAGACUUUAAGUUUGCAUCUGUGUUUCGGCUCCUGACCCUGGAUAGUGAAGAGGUGCCGGAGGCCUGCUGCCGGAGGGAACCCCAAAGUCGGGACGGGGUCCUGCUGAGCCGGGAGGAGUGCCUCCUGGGAAGGAGCCUAUUCCUAAACAAGCAGGGCUGUUACACGGUGAUCCUCAACACCUUCGAGACCUACGUCUACUUGGCCGGAGCCCUUGCCAUCGGGGUAUUGGCCAUCGAGCUUUUCGCCAUGAUCUUUGCCAUGUGCCUCUUCCGGGGCAUCCAGUAGAGGGUAUGGCCUGAAGCCUGAAGACUCGCCCCACCCACCACUGCCCAGCACCCAAUGUCCUCCUGUGCCCCUCCCCGCUGUCCUCUUGGCCCCAGGGGAGAAGAUGAGGCCAUCAGAGAUGGCCAGGAGAAGGGCCAGGGGAAUAGAGCUAUUUUUUUAACAAAACAAAAUGAAGACAAAAAUAUGGACUGAUGUAUCCUCGCCUGGACUCAGGGCAGGUGCCGUGGGUUCUCCAGAGACCC
rnacentral:sRNA from 1 species